UGAACGCUGGCAGCAUGGAUAAGACAUACAAGUCGGACGAUUCUUUAAGGUAAGCUUGCUUAUUUUAAAGAGUAGUGGCAAACGGGUUAGUAACACGUGAUUAAUCUGCCCCUUAGUCUGGAAUAACUUAAAGAAAUUUAAGCUAAUACCAGAUGCUUCUUUUUAAACAUAAGUUAAAAAAGAGAAAGAAUGCAAAUUCGCUAAGGGAUGAGAUCGCGGCCUAUCAGCUAGUUGGUGAGAUAAUAGCUCACCAAGGCUAAGACGGGUAGGGGGUGUGAGAGCAUGGUCCCCAACAAUGGCACUGAGACACUGGCCAUACUCCUACGGGAGGCUGUAGUCGAGAAUAUUCCGCAAUGGACGAAAGUCUGACGGAGCAAUGCUGCGUGCUCGAAGAAUCUCUUCGGGGUGUAAAGAGCUUUUCUAUCAGAAUAAUCUUUUAUUACUUGUAAUAAUAGAUGAAGGUACGGUAGGAAUAAGGGGGUGCUAAUUCUGUGCCAGCAGCAGCGGUAACACAGAACCCUCAAGCGUUAUUCGGAUUUAUUGGGCGUAAAGCGUCCGCAGGCGGUUAGACAAGUCUUUAAUUAAAGCUUUAAAGCUCAACUUUAGAGAUAUUAAAGAUACUAUUUAACUUGAGGAUGUCAGAGGUAGAUGGAAUUCUUGGUGUAGGGGUGAAAUCCGUUGAUAUCAAGAGGAACACCGAAAGCGAAGGCAGUCUACUGGGGCAUUCCUGACGCUCAUGGACGACAGCGUGGGGAGAAAAGAGGAUUAGAUACCCUCGUAAUUCCACGCCGUAAACGAUGGAUACUAGCUAUUGGAGGUGUCGACCCCUUCAGUGGCGAAGCUAACGCGUUAAGUAUCCCGCCUGGGAAGUACGGUCGCAAGACUAAAACUCAAAGGAAUAGACGGGGCUUCACACAAGCGGUGGAUCAUGUGGCUUAAUUCGAUACCACACGGGAAACCUUACCAGGACUUGACAUGUUAAUGAAACUCUCUGAAAAGAGAGCCUCCUUCGGGACAUUAUCACAGGUGUUGCAUGGUUGUCGUCAGUUCGUGUUUUGAAACGUACCAUUAAGUUGGGUAACGAACGAAACCCUUAUUCUAUGUUUUAUAUGUCAUAGAAAACUGCCCAGCCCAAAGCGCAUUUUAUAAUUAUAAAAUGAAUUUUGGGCUGGGAGGAAGGUGAGGAUGACGCCAAAUCAGCAUGACCCUUAUGUUCUGGGCUGCACACAUGAUACAAUGGCUAGUACAGCGAGUGGCGAAACAGUAAUGUUGAGCUAAUCUUUAAAGCUAGUCUAAGUUCGGAUUGAGGUCUGCAACUCGACCUCAUGAAGUCGGAAUCGCUAGUAAUCGCGAAUCAGCAUGUCGCGAUGAUAGUUCCUGAGCUCACUCCCGCCCGUCAG
rnacentral:rRNA from 1 species